GAUGAACGCUGGCGGCGUGCUUAACACAUGCAAGUCGAACGAAGCACUUAAGAUUGAUUCUUCGGAUGACGUCUUUUGUGACUUAGUGGCGGACGGGUGAGUAACGCGUGGGUAACCUGCCUCACACAGGGGGAUAACAGUUAGAAAUGACUGCUAAUACCGCAUAACCCGAUAGGAUCGCAUGAUCCAGACGGAAAAGAUUUAUCGGUGUGAGAUGGACCCGCGGCUGAUUAGCUAGUUGGUGAGGUAACGGCCCACCAAGGCGACGAUCAGUAGCCGGCCUGAGAGGGUGAACGGCCACAUUGGGACUGAGACACGGCCCAAACUCCUACGGGAGGCAGCAGUGGGGAAUAUUGCACAAUGGGGGAAACCCUGAUGCAGCGACGCCGCGUGAGUGAAGAAGUAUUUCGGUAUGUAAAGCUCUAUCAGCAGGGAAGAAAAUGACGGUACCUGACGAAGAAGCCCCGGCUAACUACGUG
rnacentral:rRNA from 1 species